rnacentral:rRNA from 1 species
GACGAACGCUGGCGGCGUGCUUAACACAUGCAAGUCGAACGGAAAGGCCUGCUUUCCCUUGUGGAUUGCGGGUACUCGAGUGGCGAACGGGUGAGUAACACGUGAGUGAUCUGCCCCCAACUUGGGUAUAAGCCUGGGAAACUGGGUCUAAUUCCCGAUAGGACUGCAGGGUGGUGCCUGUGGUGGAAAACGAUUUUCUAGUGGUUGGGGAUGAGCUGGGGGCCUAUCAGGUUGUUGGUGGGGUAAUGGCCUACCAAGGCGGCGACGGGUAGCCGGCCUGGGAGGGUGGACGGCCACAUUGGGAAUGAGAUACGGCCCAGACUCCUACGGGAGGCAGCAGUGGGGAAUAUUGCACAAGGGGCGGAAGCCUGAGGCAGCGACGCCGCGUGGGGGAUGACGGCCUUCGGGUUGUAAACUCCUUUCGACCGCGAGGAAGCCACCUGGUUGGAAGGGUGGUGACGGUAGUGGUAGAAGAAGCACCGGCUAACUACGUG